GUUGAAACACCAGUACCCGUAAGAUCACCAAAGUCAACCAACGUCGAUCUUGGUCAGUACCACGAUGGGUGACCGCUUGGAAAUAACAGAUGCUGUAAG